rnacentral:rRNA from 1 species
GCGGUAGGCUUAACACAUGCAAGUCGAGCGGUAACAGGGGAGCUUGCUCCUGCUGACGAGCGGCGGACGGGUGAGUAAAGCGUAGGAAUCUGCCUAGUAGAGGGGGACAACAUGUGGAAACGCAUGCUAAUACCGCAUAAUCCCUACGGGGGAAAGGAGGGGAUCACUUGUGACCUUCCGCUAUUAGAUGAGCCUGCGUGAGAUUAGCUAGUUGGUAGGGUAAAGGCCUACCAAGGCGACGAUCUCUAGCUGGUCUGAGAGGAUGAUCAGCCACACUGGGACUGAGACACGGCCCAGACUCCUACGGGAGGCAGCAGUGGGGAAUAUUGGACAAUGGGCGCAAGCCUGAUCCAGCCAUACCGCGUGUGUGAAGAAGGCCUUAGGGUUGUAAAGCACUUUCAGAAGGGAGGAAAGGUUUAUGGUUAAUACCCGUAAGCUGUGACGUUACCUUCAGAAGAAGCACCGGCUAACUCUGUGCCAGCAGCCGCGGUAAUACAGAGGGUGCGAGCGUUAAUCGGAAUUACUGGGCGUAAAGCGCGCGUAGGUGGUUUGUUAAGUCGGAUGUGAAACCCCAGGGCUCAACCUUGGAAUGGCACCCGAUACUGGCAGGCUAGAGUACGAUAGAGGAGUGUGGAAUUUCCUGUGUAGCGGUGAAAUGCGUAGAUAUAGGAAGGAACAUCAGUGGCGAA